AUCUUGAUACGGCACCUAAACCCAGGAUCAAUCACCUUGCUCCCUGUGCAAGCAAGGAGAACUACCUCAAGGAAGGUACAGAACCAGCGAGAAGUCAUACAGUGAGGGAGCAUUGAAGAUGGAAUUUGAGCUCAGAACACCUGAAUCUGUAACCAUUCUAGCUCUGCUGCUGAAGAAAUGAUGGUAGACCUGCGUCUGGACACGUUGCUUCAUCUUUUGUGUGAUUCUAAUAGCAGACGUGGUAUAUUUUGGAUAGUAAAAUCAAUUCUGUUUGGAUUAUAAAAGGGAACAGGUGGCUGCAAUUUUAGCCAUUCUUCAAUAUCCAGUAAUAAGGCUGAAAGGAAGUCAUCUCUAUUUUUCCUGCUAAGUUGGAAAAAAAAGUGAAAAAUUGAAGAAUAUAAUUUAAUUGCUGCAGGAAAAUGGCUACCAAGUUCCGAUACACUAAUUUAUUCUCUGCCAGAAUGUUUAUAUUGUAUAAUUAUCUUAUAUGAGAGGAGGUUAUUUUAAUUCAUAUAUGGAAUAUGAGAAAGAACAAAAUAACACCCACUCAGCUCUGUCAGAUAUUAAAUGAUGAGAAGGUAAGACAAAUGACAUAAUCAGAAAACAAGCAAAGGGCUAAAAUAUAUUUACAUCAAAAUUUACAUGUUAAUUCUAAAAUAUUUAAAGCAUUAACAUUUCAGUUAUCUUCCUUCCAGUAAAGGCAACACCUGUUCUUAAUAAACAUAUUUUCCCCCAAUUGUCUGUUUUCUGAACGAGUUAUGGAAUUACUAGCAUUAAAACAUUUUAAUUAAAACAAAACCUUUGGCAUUGUAAUAUAGUCUUUAAUCUUUGGUAAACAUAUGACUUUGCAAGGGAACCCAUUACUGGAUAAAUGUUCCAUGUUGAAUUGAUCAGACCCAUUUCUAGAAUGUGUUGCCAAUUAAUUGGUUAAAGAAGCAUGCUUUUUACAAAACAAUGGAUGAUGCAUCUAUUCCCAUGACCUCACUCUAAGUACAUUGCCAUUUUAAGGUUUCUUUGUAAUUAUUAUUCUAAACUAUGAAAUUAUUGAUUGAUGUGCUUGUAAAUUGAUUAUGAAUAAAUUAUGUGUGUAUGUCUUUUUCUUUUAAUUGGCUUUAUUUUUCAAG